UACGUAGGGGGCAAGCGUUGUCCGGAUUUAUUGGGCGUAAAGAGCGUGUAGGCGGCCAUACAGGUCAGCUGUGAAAACUCGAGGCUCAACCUCGAGACGUCGGUUGAAACCGUAUGGCUAGAGUCCGGAAGAGGAGAGUGGAAUUCCCGGUGUAGCGGUGAAAUGCGCAGAUAUCGGGAAGAACACCCAUGGCGAAGGCAGCUCUCUGGGACGGUACUGACGCUGAGACGCGAAAGCGUGGGGAGCGAGCAGG
rnacentral:rRNA from 1 species